rnacentral:rRNA from 1 species
ACGCGAAGAACCUUACCUACUCUUGACAUCCAGAGAACUUUCCAGAGAUGGUUUGGUGCCUUCGGGAACUCUGAGACAGGUGCUGCAUGGCUGUCGUCAGCUCGUGUUGUGAAAUGUUGGGUUAAGUCCCGCAACGAGCGCAACCCUUAUCCUUUGUUGCCAGCGGUCCGGCCGGGAACUCAAAGGAGACUGCCAGUGAUAAACUGGAGGAAGGUGGGGAUGACGUCAAGUCAUCAUGGCCCUUACGAGUAGGGCUACACACGUGCUACAAUGGCGCAUACAAAGAGAAGCGACCUCGCGAGAGCAAGCGGACCUCAUAAAGUGCGUCGUAGUCCGGAUUGGAGUCUGCAACUCG